rnacentral:rRNA from 1 species
AUUGAACGCUGGCGGCAGGCCUAACACAUGCAAGUCGAACGAGCGGCGGACGGGUGAGUAAUGUAUGGGAAUCUGCCCGAUGGAGGGGGAUAACUACUGGAAACGGUCGCUAAUACCGCAUACUAUCGGAUGAGCCUAGAUCGGAUUAGCUAGUUGGUGGGGUAAAGGCUUACCAAGGCGACGAUCCGUAGCUGGUCUGAGAGGAUGACCAGCCACACUGGAACUGAGACACGGUCCAGACUCCUACGUGAGGCAGCAGUGGGGAAUAUUGGACAAUGGGCGAAAGCCUGAGGCAGCCAUGCCGCGUGUAUGAAGAAGGCCUUCGGGUUGUAAAGUACUUUCAGCGGGGAGGCGUUACCCGCAGAAGAAGCACCGGCUAACUCCGUGCCAGCAGCCGCGGUAAUUC